rnacentral:rRNA from 1 species
UACGUAGGCAGCGAGCGUUGUUCGGAAUUACUGGGCGUAAAGAGUGUGUAGGCGGUGCUCUAAGUUCGGUGUGAAAUCUCCUGGCUCAACUGGGAGGGUGCGCCGGAAACUGGAGUGCUUGAGCGUGGGAGAGGAAAGCGGAAUUCCUGGUGUAGAGGUGAAAUUCGUAGAUAUCAGGAGGAACACCGGUGGCGAAGGCGGGUCUCUGGGCCGAUACUGACGCUGAGGAGCGAAAGCGUGGGGAGCGAACAGG